GAAAAGUUUUAUUUUAGCUUAAAAAAUUAGGUUUUAUUUUUAAUUAUAUGUAAAUUUUUGUUAAAAAUUGGUAGUGCAGUAAUUUAUUUUGGUAAUUUAAGUAAUUAAGAAUUAGAAAUAAUAAAGAUUAUAAACAAAAUUUGUGCCAGCAGUUGCGGUUAUACAAGUUAUAUAAUUUAAUUUUUUUAAUUUUAAUUAAUUAGUUAAUUUAAAUUUUAAAUUUAAAUUUGAAUAGUGAAAUUUUAAAUUUAUGUUAAUAUUUAUUUUUGAUAAUGGUUUAAGAAAUUUUAAUAAUAAACUAGGAUUAGAUACCCUAUUAUUUAAAAUGUUUAUAAUGAAUUAAAUUAGUAUUAGUUAUGUUCUUUAAAAUUAAAAUUUUUGGCGGUAUUUUAGUCUAUUCAGAGGAACCUGUUUUAUAAAUGAUAGUCCACGAUUUAAUUUACUUUUUUUAUAUUUACAUAUCGUCGUAAUUUAAAUAUUUUUAUAGGAUUUUAAUAUUUAAGAUUUUUAUUAAAAAAUAUAUCAGAUCAAGGUGUAGUUUAUAAGGAAGAAAAAAUGGGUUACAUUAAAUUUAUUUUGGGAAUUAUAUUAUUAUAAUAUUUUGAAUAUGGAUUUGAUAGUAAUUUUAAUGAAUUUAUUAAAGUGAUUAAAGCUCUAAAAUAUGUACAUAUUGCCCGUCGCUUUCAUUUAAUAUGGAAUAAGUCGUAACAAAGUAGGUUUACUGGAAAGUGAGUCUAGAGUCAA
rnacentral:ncRNA from 1 species